rnacentral:rRNA from 1 species
AGGUUAAGCAGUAAAUGUGGAGCCGUAGCGAAAGCGAGUCUGAAUAGGGCGUUUAGUAUUUGGUCGUAGACCCGAAACCAGGUGAUCUACCCUUGGUCAGGUUGAAGUUCAGGUAACACUGAAUGGAGGACCGAACCGACUUACGUUGAAAAGUGAGCGGAUGAACUGAGGGUAGCGGAGAAAUUCCAAUCGAACCUGGAGAUAGCUGGUUCUCUCCGAAAUAGCUUUAGGGCUAGCCUCAAGUGAUGAUUAUUGGAGGUAGAGCACUGUUUGGACGAGGGGCCCCUCUCGGGUUACCGAAUUCAGACAAACUCCGAAUGCCAAUUAAUUUAACUUGGGAGUCAGAACAUGGGUGAUAAGGUCCGUGUUCGAAAGGGAAACAGCCCAGACCACCAGCUAAGGUCCCAAAAUAUAUGUUAAGUGGAAAAGGAUGUGGCGUUGCCCAGACAACUAGGAUGUUGGCUUAGAAGCAGCCAUCAUUUAAAGAGUGCGUAAUAGCUCACUAGUCGAGUGACACUGCGCCGAAAAUGUACCGGGGCUAAACAUAUUACCGAAGCUGUGGAUUGUCCUUUGGACAAUGGUAGGAGAGCGUUCUAAGGGCGUUGAAGCAUGAUCGUAAGGACAUGUGGAGCGCUUAGAAGUGAGAAUGCCGGUGUGAGUAGCGAAAGACGGGUGAGAAUCCCGUCCACCGAUUGACUAAGGUUUCCAGAGGAAGGCUCGUCCGCUCUGGGUUAGUCGGGUCCUAAGCUGAGGCCGACAGGCGUAGGCGAUGGAUAACAGGUUGAUAUUCCUGUACCACCUAUAAUCGUUUUAAUCGAUGGGGGGACGCAGUAGGAUAGGCGAAGCGUGCGAUUGGAUUGCACGUCUAAGCAGUAAGGCUGAGUAUUAGGCAAAUCCGGUACUCGUUAAGGCUGAGCUGUGAUGGGGAGAAGACAUUGUGUCUUCGAGUCGUUGAUUUCACACUGCCGAGAAAAGCCUCUAGAUAGAAAAUAGGUGCCCGUACCGCAAACCGACACAGGUAGUCAAGAUGAGAAUUCUAAGGUGAGCGAGCGAACUCUCGUUAAGGAACUCGGCAAAAUGACCCCGUAACUUCGGGAGAAGGGGUGCUCUUUAGGGUUAACGCCCAGAAGAGCCGCAGUGAAUAGGCCCAAGCGACUGUUUAUCAAAAACACAGGUCUCUGCUAAACCGUAAGGUGAUGUAUAGGGGCUGACGCCUGCCCGGUGCUGGAAGGUUAAGAGGAGUGGUUAGCUUCUGCGAAGCUACGAAUCGAAGCCCCAGUAAACGGCGGCCGUAACUAUAACGGUCCUAAGGUAGCGAAAUUCCUUGUCGGGUAAGUUCCGACCCGCACGAAAGGCGUAACGAUUUGGGCACUGUCUCAACGAGAGACUCGGUGAAAUCAUAGUACCUGUGAAGAUGCAGGUUACCCGCGACAGGACGGAAAGACCCCGUGGAGCUUUACUGUAGCCUGAUAUUGAAAUUCGGCACAGCUUGUACAGGAUAGGUAGGAGCCUUUGAAACGUGAGCGCUAGCUUACGUGGAGGCGCUGGUGGGAUACUACCCUAGCUGUGUUGGCUUUCUAACCCGCACCACUUAUCGUGGUGGGAGACAGUGUCAGGCGGGCAGUUUGACUGGGGCGGUCGCCUCCUAAAAGGUAACGGAGGCGCUCAAAGGUUCCCUCAGAAUGGUUGGAAAUCAUUCAUAGAGUGUAAAGGCAUAAGGGAGCUUGACUGCGAGACCUACAAGUCGAGCAGGGUCGAAAGACGGACUUAGUGAUCCGGUGGUUCCGCAUGGAAGGGCCAUCGCUCAACGGAUAAAAGCUACCCCGGGGAUAACAGGCUUAUCUCCCCCAAGAGUUCACAUCGACGGGGAGGUUUGGCACCUCGAUGUCGGCUCAUCGCAUCCUGGGGCUGUAGUCGGUCCCAAGGGUUGGGCUGUUCGCCCAUUAAAGCGGUACGCGAGCUGGGUUCAGAACGUCGUGAGACAGUUCGGUCCCUAUCCGUCGUGGGCGUAGGAAAUUUGAGAGGAGCUGUCCUUAGUACGAGAGGACCGGGAUGGACAUACCUCUGGUGUACCAGUUGUCGUGCCAACGGCAUAGCUGGGUAGCUAUGUGUGGACGGGAUAAGUGCUGAAAGCAUCUAAGCAUGAAGCCCCCCUCAA